rnacentral:lncRNA from 1 species
AGUUGUUAUUUCAUGAGUUAUGGAUUCAAUUCGUUCAUCUAUUUGAUUGAUAACUUACUUGUGUAUGUUGAUUGAGAGUGCACGCUUAGUUUUCAUGCAUGAAUAUGAUGCUAGAUUAUGAGGGAGUUUCACCUAAUAGUUACAAUCUUAUAAUCACAAGUAGAGAAGAUCGCUUGAAAACGAUCGCGUUGAAUGAAUUCUUAGCAUAAGUUUCAUGCAAUUCAUAGUAACAAAUGCUUCGUCAAUGCUUAUGUUUUUCAUAGAACGUAAUGAUUCUUGCUUGUAUCUCUAUUAUGCAAUUCAUGUAGGGAACUUGUAGGGAAUGUUUUGGGUUGUCGUAUGCAAUCAUCCAACUUAAUAACUUGUGGAAAAACUGAGGGUUAAUUAGUGCAAUUCACGGUUAACUUGGGGCGUUGAGUAUUCAUAGUUUAUCGGAAGAACAACUGAAAAUCGUUUUGUUUGCAAGUGUGACAUGUGUGGAGAAGAACCUCCUAACUAGCCUUUUAUCCAUCCUUUUCACCAAAAUCGUUUUUACAAUCUGUGUUAAUUAAAGUUUCUGUUUUGUUUUCAAUUUCUGUCCAAAACUAUUCCCCCUUUAUUUUGAAGUCUUAGAUUAGUUAGAAAGUGUUUUGAUUUGUGUUUCUAGGUGUUUUGAUUCAAGUUUUCAACCAAUUUCGUCCAGAUUAGUGUAAGUGCUCAAAACUGCCCAGAAAGUGGUUUUUAGGCAGUUUUGAGCCUUCUAGUUGCUGUUUUGAGUUUUAGGUUUGUUUAAGUGUUUUGACUUUUAGUUUUGCAUUCUUUGAGUCUAGUUUAGUGUUUUUAACUUUGUUUUUGAGUGUUUAAGUCAGUUUCCAAGUGUUUAGCAAUCCCACCUAAUCCCCGGUCUAGAACGAUCCCUACUUACAUCUUUACUACAAUUUGACAAAAAGAGGGUUUAAUUUGUGUGCUUAAUAUAUUUCGCAUCACAACACACAAGAAUAAGUUAUCAAUCAAGUAGAUUAGUAAAUUGUAUUCACGAUUUAUGAAAUCAUAACUGGAUGUAAUUAAUUCAUAUCACAUAUAUGUUCAUGGCUUUGAAUUCACCUCUAACUAAAACAAAAUUAGUUCCUCAUGGUUGCAAUUAAACAAGGACAAUCUAAUAACUAAGGAUAGAAUACACCUAGGAACGUUCCAGUAAUCCAAAGCCUGGAAUGGCAGGCACGGCACCAAGGGUCUCCUUUCCUUCCUUCCUUGCAAAGUUGCAGCACAAUUGUAUUUUUCUGAUGUUUUGGCUCUUGUGUGUGUGUUGCCAAAAUAGGUUCAGAAAAUAUGUAUUUAUAGGCCUAGGGUUCGGCAAAGGCAGAGAAGGAGAAUGAUUACACAAUCCUAGGGGAAAAGGACUAGGGAAUUAAGCACAAAGCUUCUAGAAAAGAAGGGAUUAAAUUCGUCAGAUUUCUAGGGGGAAAAGGGAUCAGGUUAUUUGCAUUGUUUCAGGGCUUCUAGUAUUAGAUAUUAAGUAUUCUAAUGUGAUAAGGAAUCCCCCUUGCAGCUGGAAUUAAGGUAGGAUAGGAUUAGGAUAGGAUAAGAUAAGAUAAGGUUAGUUUGGAUAAUUUUCCUUCUUUUUAGCUGAUUCCUUGUCUUCUUUAUCUUGACUUUAUUUUCUUCAUCUUCUAGCAUAUUCCUAGCCUCUUGAACUUCAAAAACGUCCAUCCACCUUGCUCCAUGCAUGUGCUAUCCAUUCUUGGCCCAAAACUGCUGCAAAAUGCUCCACAUUGCACUUUCUUGCCAACUUUGUCAUUUGAACCUGAAAACACAUGAAAAUAGCUUAAAACACUUUAAUAAGUAGAAACUAGCUACGAAAAUGCAAGAAAACAAGCUAACUAAGUCGCAUAAAUAUGCUCUUAUCAGCUGCAUUCAAAAGUUGAAUUCUAAGUGUUGAUUUCAUUACUUUGCUUACUAUGACUUUAAGAACCUUUGUUUAUCCUUCACCGUUCAUUGUUAGCCAAUACACCUUUUGACUUGUAUCUUGGUUGUUAUAUUUUUCAAUAUGUGGAGUUUGAAAUUGGUACGAGCAUAUGGAAUCCCUGGUUCUUGCUUCUAAGUAGUAGCAUUUCGUUCAUGAGAUCAUAUAUACAUACUUGCAUUUGAUAAUUCCAAAAAGUGCCUUCUUUGAUUAUAACAUAUGUAAGUGUUAGUCUACAUGUUUCCAUCAGUCUUCUCACAUAUACCUAGUAUAGGGAGUGUAGUCAAAAAAUCUAUGUGAAAAUAGAGAGUAUAUCUGGUAAGGAAUUAAGUGAAUUCUCUAAGGCAUGUUACUACAUUCAAAACAUUGUUUUAAUUGAUUAAAUGCGAGCUAGUGAGGGGUGACUGCGAUGAAGUAUGAGCUCAGGGGUAAGGAUAGCUAAAAUCUAUGUACGUAGUGAUAUUAAAUGUGUCAUGUUUCAUUGGAAAUCCAUGAGGCAAUUGUUGGAAGGUUUAGGUUAUGUUUUGUUUGUUUUGUUUUGCUCGAGGACUAGCAAAAGCUAAGUGUGGGGGAAUUUGAUAGAAGCAUAUUUAUGCGACUUAGUUAACUUGUUUUCUUGUAUUUAGUGAGUUAGUUUCUGUUUAUUAUAGUGUUUUAAGUUAUUUUCGUGUGUUUUCAGGUUCAAAUGACAAAGUUGACAAGAAAAUGCAAUUUGGAGCAUUUUGGAGCAGUUUUGGGUCAAGAAUGGAUAGCACAUGCAUGGAGCAAGGUGGAUGGACGUUUUUGAAGUUCAUGAGGCUAGGAAUAUGCUACAGAGAUGAGGAAAAUAAAGUCAAGAUAAAUAAGAUAAAGAAUCAGCUAAAAAAAAGGAACAUUAUCUUAACCAACAUUAUCUUAUCCAACAUUAUCCAAACUAACUUUAUCUUAUCCAACAUUAUCCAAAACAUUAUCCAAACUAAUCUUAUCUUAUCUUAUCAUAUCAUAACCUUAUCCUAAUCUUAUUCUACCUGAAUUCCAGCUGCAAGGGGGACAUAUUUUCAGAUUAAGAUACCUAUAAAUUAGGGUUCUAAAAGCCAAGCUCAUUCCCUAAAAACAUGCCGCACCUAGCCCUUCUAGAAACUAUGUUUCCUGCCGCAAAGACCACUCCUUUUCCUCCCUGAAAUCUGAAUGAGAAGUGUCCUUUUUCCUUGUUGAUUUAGAGUUCUAAUUCCCCUCAUUCUCAGCCUUUGUCGUGCCUUCCCUUCCCCCUAUAAAUACAUUGUGUCGCAGCACUCAUAAAUCACCCAUCUCUCAUCACAAUUUCGCACCACACACAUAAGAGCCUAAAAUAAAAAAAUCUCACUUGUGCCGCAGCGUUGUGCAGCAGCUUUGCAAGGAAGGAAGGAGAUGAGCAAGCUUGGAGCCAUGACUGCCGUUCAAGACUUUUGGAUUGCUGAAGCGUUUCUAGGUGUAUUCUAUCUUUUGCUUUCAAUUUUUAAAUUAGAUUGGUUUUGUUUAAUUGCGAACAUGUGGAACUAAUUUCGUUUUAGCUAGAGGUGAAUUCAAAGCCAUGAACAUAUGUGUGAUAUGAAUUAAUUACAUCCAGUUAUUGUUUCAUAAAUCGUGAAUGGAAUUUACUUAUCUGUUUGAUUGAUAACUUGUUCUUGUGUGUUGAUUAAGGAUGCAUACUUAGUUUGCAUGCAGAGAUUUGAUGCUAAAAUAUAAGGGAGUUUCACCUAAUAGUUAUGAACUUAUAUUUACAAGUAAUGGAGGUUGCUAGUCACGGUCGUGUUAAGUAAACGAAUGCCUUGUCCAUACUUAUGAUUUUCAUAGAACUUAAUGAUCUUUGAUAUGUAUCUCUAUUAUGCAGUUCAUGUAGGGAACUUGAUAAGGAUAAUUUGGUAGCGUCGCUAAGUCCAAUUCAAUGAAUUUAGGAAAAUCAUUAAGUUAAUUUGUGCUUCUCAUGAUUAAUUUGGGGCAUUGUCAUUCCUGGUUCAUAGGAAGAAUAACUAGAAAUCGAUUUGUAUGCAUAUGUGUCAUGUGUGGAGAAGGACCCUCUAGCUAGCCUUUCACCCCUUUCAUUCACUCUGAUUUCGUAUUGCCUUUAUUUUGUUUCUGCAAGUACUUAGGUUUACUUUAAAUUCGUCAAAACCACCCCCAUUUAGUAUUCUGAGUCUUUUUAGUUUAAUUUUCGUCCAACUCAUCCUCUACCUUUAGUUGUUGUUUUAAGUCAAUUUAACUUAGUUUUGUGUUAUUUGAUUCAGUUUAGCUUGUUUUGAGUUGUUUGAUUCUAGUUUUCAGUUUUUAAGUUUAAUUUGUGUUGAUUAGCAUCCCUAAUUAAUCACAGGCCUAGAACGAUCCCUACCUACGCGUUCUACAACUAUCUUAAUAGGGUCUAAUUUGUGUGUUAGUUUUUACCACAUCAGGUUUAAACCCUUGAAAUUUUGACAUAGAAACAUAGCUCAAACAAGAUUAUAACUGACGAAAACCACGUUGAGGAUUAGAACCUUACCUAAGGUGGAGUUUGAGAGAGCUCAAGCUCUCAGUGUUAAUGGCAUAGCACACGGGGAUGCUUUGAUAGCGCAUGCAAAGCUGUAGGUGAAUUCCUCAUGUCCUAAAGGUUAAAGGUUCCAGUUUCCAAGGUUUGAUUUGGUCAGAGAAGGUGGUUCAUCGGAGAAAUUGAGGGUGAAGGUCCUUGGCCUUUCGGCCUCUCUGUUUACAGAGAUGAAGAAGAUGAUGGAAUGAGAGAGAUAGUUUUAAAAAAUUAAUAAAAUUAGUGAGUGGGAAAAGAGAGAGAAAGAGAAGAAGAACUGGUUAAAAAAAAUGAGAGGGAAAUGAGGCAUAUGUGUCAGAGAGAGAGAGAGCCAUGUGAGGGAACUAGCCAAAAAGAAGGGAAAAUGAUGUGAUGUGUGAUGGAGCAAGUUUUGGGUUUCUAAAACCAAAAAUAAUAUUUGUUUAAAGCAACUUGCCCACCAUCCCUCAUCAUUUGAAGGCUGAUAUAUGCUUCCCACACCAGACCAAGGCAGUGGUGCACAUUGCAUGAGGUUGGUUUUUAAAGUUUGAACCUCUCUCAGGUGAAUUUAUAAUGUUUCGAACAUAACUUGUUCAUUAUAAUUCCAAAUUGAGUUCCGUUUGCGGUCACAUGUUCAUACAAAUGAGUACUAUUCAAAAAUAGUAAAAUAAGACUGAAAAUGAAAGGAAAAUUGAGGUCCACGUGGAAGGCCAUCUUAGGGGUAUUUUGAUAAUUUCACUACUACUGAGAAUAAAAUGAUAAAUCGCCAAAAUGGUCCUUGAGAUUUGCAUAACUCAUCACUUUGGUCCUUGAGAUUCCAAAUCGAUAAAAGUGGUCCCUAAGAUUGUCCACCAUCCAUCAUUUUGGUCCUUCCGUUAAAAACUCCGUUAAGUGUCCUGAAGCUCUUGGCCAGAAGUUUGGGCAAUUUUCAAAGCUUCGUAACUCAAUUGUUUCUUAACCAAAUUCGACCCAUAAUAUAUCAAAAUGAAGAUAAGAAAGUGUAAAAUAAGAUUAUACCU